rnacentral:rRNA from 1 species
GUUUGAUCCUGGCUCAGGAUGAACGCUAGCGGCAGGCUUAACACAUGCAAGUCGAGGGGCAGCAUGUCCAGCAAUGGAUGAUGGCGACCGGCGGAAGGGUGCGUAACGCGUGAGCAACAUGCCCUAUACAGGGAGAUACACCAGGGAAACUUGGUCUAAUAUCCCAUAGCAUUCAUUGAAGGCAUCUUUAAUGAAUUAAAGCUUCGGUGGUAUAGGAUUGGCUCGCGUGACAUUAGCCAGAUGGUGAGGUAACGGCUCACCAUAGCAAUGAUGUCUAGGGGUUUUGAGAGGAACGCCCCCCACACUGGGACUGAGACACGGCCCACACUCCUACGGGAGGCAGCAGUAGGGAAUCUUCCGCAAUGGACGAAAGUCUGACGGAGCAAUGCCGCGUGAAUGAAGAAGGUCUUCGGAUCGUAAAAUUCUGUUGUUAGAGAAGAACAAGGAGUAACUAACUACUACUCCCUUGACGGUAUCUAACCAGAAAGCCACGGCUAACUACGUGCCAGCAGCCGCGGUAAUACGUAGGUGGCAAGCGUUGUCCGGAUUUAUUGGGCGUAAAGGGAGCGCAGGCGGUGACUUAAGUCUGAUGUGAAAGCCCACGGCUCAACCGUGGAAGGUCAUUGGAAACUGGGUCACUUGAAUAUAGAAGAGGAAAGUGGAAUUCCAUGUGUAGCGGUGAAAUGCGUAGAUAUAUGGAGGAACACCAGUGGCGAAGGCGACUUUCUGGUCUAUUAUUGACGCUGAGGCUCGAAAGCAUGGGUAGCAAACAGGAUUAGAUACCCUGGUAGUCCAUGCCGUAAACGAUGAGACUAAGGUGAUGGGGGGGUUUCCCCCCCUUGGUGCGGGCGUUAACGCCAUUAACCACUCCCCCUGGGGAGUUCGGCCCCAAGGCUUAAACUCAGAGGAAUGACGGGGACCCGCCCAAGCGGUGGAGCAUGUGGUUUAAUUCGAAGCAACGCGAAGAACCUUACCAGCUCUUGACAUCUUCUGCCAACUCUAGAGAUAGAGUGUUCCCUUCGGGGACAGAAUGACAGGUGGUGCAUGGUUGUCGUCAGCUCGUGUCGUGAGAUGUUGGGUUAAGUCCCGUAACGAGCGCAACCCUUGUUGUCAGUUGCCAGCAUUCAGUUGGGCACUCUGGCGAGACUGCCGGUGACAAACCGGAGGAAGGUGGGGAUGACGUCAAAUCAGCAUGCCCCUUAUGAGCUGGGCUACACACGUGCUACAAUGGAUGGUACAGCGAGUCGCUAAACCGCGAGGUCAAGCUAAUCUCCUAAAGCCAUUCUCAGUCCGGAUUGCAGGCUGCAACUCGCCUGCAUGAAGCCGGAAUCGCUAGUAAUCGUGGAUCAGAAUGCCACGGUGAAUACGUUCCCGGGUCUUGUACACACCGCCCGUCA